CUGGUUGAUCCUGCCAGUAGUCAUACGCUUGUCUCAAAGACUAAGCCAUGCAUGUCUAAGUAUAAAGGUUAUACAAUGAAACUGCGAAUGGCUCAUUAAAACAGUUAUAGUUUAUUUGGUAAUUUUCUACAUGGAUAACCGUGGUAAUUCUAGAGCUAAUACAUGCUGUUUAGCCUGACUUCUUGAAGGGCUGUAUUUAUUAGAUAACAGACCAAUAUUCCUUCGUGUCUAUUGUGGUGACUCAUAGUAACUGAUCGGAUCGCAUGGGCUUGCCCGCGACAAACCAUUCAAGUUUCUGCCCCAUCAGCUUUCGAUGGUAGUGUAUUGGACUACCAUGGCUUUUACGGGUAACGGAGGAUUAGGGUUCGAUUCCGGAGAGGGAGCCUGAGAAACGGCUACCACAUCUAAGGAAGGCAGCAGGCGCGUAAAUUACCCAAUCCUGACUCAGGGAGGUAGUGACAAGAAAUAACGGGCCGGGUUUUCAAUCCGGGACUGAAAUGAGAUGAAUUUACACCCCUUAUUGAGGAUCAAUUGGAGGGCAAGUCUGGUAGUCUGGUUGAUCCUGCCAGGAGGGCAAGUCUGGU
rnacentral:rRNA from 1 species